rnacentral:rRNA from 1 species
CGCCUGGGGAGUACGGCCGCAAGGUUAGAACUCAAAUGAAUUGACGGGGGCCCGCACAAGCGGUGGAGCAUGUGGUUUAAUUCGACGCAACGCGAAGAACCUUACCUGGCCUUGACAUCCAGAGAGCUUUCCAGAGAUGGAUUGGUGCCUUCGGGAACUCUGAGACAGGUGCUGCAUGGCCGUCGUCAGCUCGUGUCGUGAGAUGUUGGGUUAAGUCCCGUAACGAGCGCAACCCCUAUCCCUGGUUGCUAGCAGGUAAUGCUGAGAACUCCAGGGAGACUGCCGGUGACAAACCGGAGGAAGGUGGGGAUGACGUCAGGUCAUCAUGGCCCUUACGGCCAGGGCUACACACGUGCUACAAUGGCGCGUACAGAGGGCUGCCAACUCGCGAGAGUGAGCCAAUCCCUUAAAACGCGUCGUAGUCCGGAUCGGAGUCUGCAACUCGACUCCGUGAAGUCGGAAUCGCUAGUAAUCGCGAAUCAGAAUGUCGCGGUGAAUACGUUCCCGGGCCUUGUACACACCGCCCGUCACACCAUGGGAGUGGAUUGCACCAGAAGUAGUUAGUCUAACCUUCGGGAGGACGAUUACCACGGUGUGGUUCAUGACUGGGGUGAAGUCGUAACAAGGUAACCGUA